GCCUGGGUGGCUCAGCUGGUUGAGCGUCCGACUUCAACUCAGAUCAUGAACUCAGGGAUUGUGAGUUUGAGCCCCACGUCAGGCU
rnacentral:tRNA from 1 species